UCAAGCGAAUAAGUGCAUAUGGUGGAUGCCUUGGCGAUCACAGGCGAAGAAGGACGUUGUAGCCUGCGAAAAGCUGCGGGGAGCUGGCAAACAAGCUUUGAUCCGCAGAUGUCCGAAUGGGGAAACCCACUCCAGCGAUGGAGUAUCGUUAUCUGAAUACAUAGGGUAACGAGGCGAACCGGGUGAACUGAAACAUCUCAGUAGCUCGAGGAAAAGAAAUCAACCGAGAUUCCGGCAGUAGCGGCGAGCGAAACCGGAGCAGCCUUGACGAGUUAGCACAGUCGAUAGUCGAACGGUCUGGAAAGGCCGGCCGCAGCAUGGUGAUAGCCCUGUAGACGAAAUCGAAUGUGUGGGACUAGGCGUCAGAUAAGUAGGGCGGGACACGUGAAAUCCUGUCUGAAGAUGGGGGGACCAUCCUCCAAGGCUAAAUACUCGUGAUCGACCGAUAGUGAACCAGUACCGUGAGGGAAAGGCGAAAAGAACCCCGGAAGGGGAGUGAAAUAGAUCCUGAAACCGUAUGCAUACAAACAGUAGGAGCCUCCUUGAGGGGUGACUGCGUACCUUUUGUAUAAUGGGUCAGCGACUUACAUUCAGUGGCAAGCUUAACCGGAUAGGGAAGGCGUAGCGAAAGCGAGUCCGAACAGGGCGAUUCAGUCGCUGGGUGUAGACCCGAAACCAGGCGAUCUAUCCAUGGCCAGGUUGAAGGCACGGUAACACGUGCUGGAGGACCGAACCCACUAACGUUGAAAAGUUAGGGGAUGAGCUGUGGAUAGGGGUGAAAGGCUAAACAAGCCUGGAGAUAGCUGGUUCUCUCCGAAAACUAUUUAGGUAGUGCCUCACAUGAUUACUGCCGGGGGUAGAGCACUGUUAUAGCUAGGGGGUCAUGGCGACUUACCAACCUAUGGCAAACUCCGAAUACCGGCAAGUACAGUGUGGGAGACAGAGCACCGGGUGCUAACGUCCGGACUCAAGAGGGAAACAACCCAGACCGCCAGCUAAGGUCCCUAAAAUUGGCUAAGUGGGAAACGAAGUGGGAAGGCUAAAACAGUCAGGAUGUUGGCUUAGAAGCAGCCAUCAUUUAAAGAAAGCGUAAUAGCUCACUGAUCGAGUCGUCCUGCGCGGAAGAUGUAACGGGGCUAAGCCAGUUACCGAAGCUGCGGGUGUGCACGCAAGUGCACGCGGUAGGAGAGCGUUCUGUAAGCCUGCGAAGGUGGCUUGUAAAGGCUGCUGGAGGUAUCAGAAGUGCGAAUGCUGACAUGAGUAGCGAUAAAGGGGGUGAAAAGCCCCCUCGCCGUAAGUCCAAGGUUUCCUGCGCAACGUUCAUCGGCGCAGGGUGAGUCGGCCCCUAAGGCGAGGCAGAGAUGCGUAGCUGAUGGGAAGCUGGUUAAUAUUCCAGUACCGUCGUGAGAUGCGAUGGGGGGACGGAUGGCAGAAGGUCAUCGGGGUGUUGGAUGUCCCCGUUGCUGCAUCGAAGAAGGCGCUUAGGUAAAUCCGGGCGCGUAAUUCAAGGGUGUGGCUGGACAGGAACUUCGGUUCCUGGACUGAUUGGAAGUUGUCCCAGGAAAAGCCUCUAAGCUUCAGUCUCACGAGACCGUACCGCAAACCGACACAGGUGGACGGGAUGAAUAUUCCAAGGCGCUUGAGAGAACUCAGGAGAAGGAACUCGGCAAAUUGAUACCGUAACUUCGGGAGAAGGUAUGCCCUUGUAGUGUGACAGGCUCGCGCCUGGAGCAUGAAGGGGCCGCAGAGAAUCGGUGGCUGCGACUGUUUAUUAAAAACACAGCACUCUGCAAAGACGAAAGUCGACGUAUAGGGUGUGACGCCUGCCCGGUGCCGGAAGGUUAAGUGAUGGGGUGCAAGCUCUUGAUCGAAGCCCCGGUAAACGGCGGCCGUAACUAUAACGGUCCUAAGGUAGCGAAAUUCCUUGUCGGGUAAGUUCCGAC
rnacentral:rRNA from 1 species